rnacentral:rRNA from 1 species
UACGGGGGGGGCAAGCGUUGUUCGGAAUUACUGGGCGUAAAGGGCUCGUAGGUGGCCAACUAAGUCCGUUGUGAAAUCCCAGGGCUCAACCCUGGAACUGCGAUGGAGACUGUCGAUCUUGAGUACGGGAGAGGGGAGCGGAAUUCCUGGUGUAGAGGUGAAAUUCGUAGAUAUCAGGAGGAACACCAACGGCGAAGGCAGCACUCUGGGCCGGUACUGACGCUGAGGAGCGAAAGCGUGGGGAGCAAACAGG